rnacentral:rRNA from 1 species
AACGCGAAGAACCUUACCUGGUCUUGACAUGUCAGGAACCCUAUAGAGAUAUGGGGGUGCCUUCGGGAGCCUGAACACAGGUGCUGCAUGGCUGUCGUCAGCUCGUGUCGUGAGAUGUUGGGUUAAGUCCCGCAACGAGCGCAACCCUUGCCUCCUGUUGCCAACAGGUAAAGCUGGGCACUCUGGAGAGACUGCCGGUGAUAAACCGGAGGAAGGUGGGGAUGACGUCAAGUCCCCAUGGCCUUUAUGCCCCGGGCUACACACGUGCUACAAUGGCUGGUACAAAGGGUCGCAAAACCGCGAGGUGGAGCUAAUCCCAAAAAACCAGUCCCAGUUCGGAUUGGAGUCUGCAACUCGACUCCAUGAAGUUGGAAUCGCUAGUAAUCGCGGAUCAGCACGCCGCGGUGAAUACGUUCCCGGGCCUUGUACACACCGACGCGUA